rnacentral:ribozyme from 14 species
AGAAUACGUAGGAGAAUGUGUCACAGUCGCCUGUUUUAUAUUUUCUUGAAAAUGCCUUCUUCUUCUUUUUCUUCUAGUUUUUUUUCUUUAUCUUCUCAAAAUGGAUUUU